AGAGUUUGAUCCUGGCUCAGGAUGAACGCUGGCGGCGUGCCUAACACAUGCAAGUCGAGCGAGGAAGAGGAAGCUUGCUUCUAAAUCCUAGCGGCGGACGGGUGAGUAACGCGUGGGCAACCUACCCUAUGCAGGGGGAUAACAUUGGGAAACCAGUGCUAAUACCGCAUAAAGCCGAGAAGGGGCAUCUCUUCAUGGUCAAAGAACUUCGGCAUAGGAUGGGCCCGCGUCUGAUUAGUUAGUUGGUAAGGUAGCGGCUUACCAAGACGAUGAUCAGUAGCCGACCUGAGAGGGUGACCGGCCACACUGGAACUGAGACACGGUCCAGACUCCUACGGGAGGCAGCAGUGGGGAAUAUUGCACAAUGGGGGAAACCCUGAUGCAGCAACGCCGCGUGAGCGAAGAAGGCCUUCGGGUCGUAAAGCUCUGUCCUAAGGGAAGAUAAUGACGGUACCUUAGGAGGAAGCCCCGGCUAACUACGUGCCAGCAGCCGCGGUAAUACGUAGGGGGCAAGCGUUAUCCGGAAUCACUGGGCGUAAAGGGUGCGUAGGCGGCCAAACAAGUCAGGGGUGAAAGGCUACGGCUCAACCGUAGUAAGCCUUUGAAACUGUUUGGCUUGAGUGCAGGAGAGGAGAGUGGAAUUCCUAGUGUAGCGGUGAAAUGCGUAGAUAUUAGGAGGAACACCAGUGGCGAAGGCGACUCUCUGGACUGUAACUGACGCUGAGGCACGAAAGCGUGGGGAACAAACAGGAUUAGAUANNNUGGUAGUCCACGCCGUAAACGAUGAGUGCUAGGUGUUGGANGGAGACCUUCAGUGNCGACGCUAACGCAUUAAGCACUCCGCCUGGGGAGUACGCUCGCAAGANUGAAACUCAAAGGAAUUGACGGGGACCCGCACAAGCAGCGGANCAUGUGGUUUAAUUCGAAGCAACGCGAAGAACCUUACCUGGNCUUGA
rnacentral:rRNA from 1 species